rnacentral:tRNA from 1 species
GUUGGGAUACCUCAGUUGGUAGAGC